CCUCCAGGAUGAGAGAAGGAAGAGGCCUCGCUUCUGGAACAUUCCUCUUGCUCGUUCCUUUAAAGCAGCUUUAUUGAGGUACAAUCAUGGGACAAUUAACUGCACAUGUGUAAAGUCUACAGUUGGAUAAGUUCGGACACAUGUAUCCACCCCUGAAACCACCACCACAAAAUCAAGGAUCUUAAUUGCUGGGAAGAGACUGCAGCUGGAAACCCUCUAGGUGCCAGCUCAACGCCUCAAAGAAAACCCUCUCUGCGUGGGACCCGGGGAACAAAGGCCCCACCUAAACGUCUCCUGAGGGCCACCUGCCGCCUCUCUGUCCCCCUGACGCGAAGGUGAGCUGAGUGAAGGGACGGGCCCUGCCUCACGGGGUCCGCUUCAGCGCCC